GAGAAAGUGAAAUAAAAACAGAAAAAUCGAGACAACCCGAGCCAAGCCCGAGCUGCCCCCCCCUUCUCCUUUCUUCUUCGCGUGAACAGUAACCGAGAGAGAGAAAAUCCGGCAAUUCGUCGCCGUCCGGCCACCCCAACGUGCACCGCUCAUCUUGGCUUGAUCCUCUCUUCCUUCUCUUCCUAAUUAUCUGGUGGUGGUCUGUGGAGGAAGAUUGGAAGGUGUUGGGCGGGUGAACAGUGCCAUGAACAGUAACUGUCGAGUUCUUGGUUUUUGUUUGAUUUCUCCGGCCAUUUCUGCUUGAUUUUGAUUGUAGUUGCAGGACGUACUGAGCCCUCGAGCGAGGAGGACACGGGCAGGCAGCAGGAUUAGCUGCGAGACUCAUUAUUUCAGAUUUGCCGAGAUCGCGUCCAGGCUCUAAAGACUGUGGCAUCAGCGCUUCCGUUUUUGUCCGUAGGUUAUUACUUAACCUACCUUGUAUGAUAUCGGCUUACUUAUUAGCGUUGCUCUGAUAACCCUUUCCAAUUGAUGGAUGUUGUUGUUCGAACUGUUGUUGUUGUUGAAGUUAUGUUGGGAUUUGAAUUGUUCCACAUGUAAUAUUAUGUUUAGAAUGUAAAUCUUUUAUGAUGGGUUGAGUGAAAGUUAAGGUUUUAAUUUA